rnacentral:rRNA from 1 species
ACGCCGCGUGAGCGAUGAAGGCCUUCGGGUCGUAAAGCUCUGUUGUCAGAGAAGAACAAGUACCGGAGUAACUGCCGGUACCUUGACGGUACCUGACCAGAAAGCCACGGCUAACUACGUGCCAGCAGCCGCGGUAAUACGUAGGUGGCAAGCGUUAUCCGGAAUUAUUGGGCGUAAAGCGCGCGCAGGCGGUUCUUUAAGUCUGAUGUGAAAGCCCACGGCUCAACCGUGGAGGGUCAUUGGAAACUGGGGAACUUGAGUGCAGGAAAGAAAAGUGGAAUUCCACGUGUAGCGGUGAAAUGCGUAGAGAUGUGGAGGAACACCAGUGGCGAAGGCGGCUUUUUGGCCUGUAACUGACGCUGAGGCGCGAAAGCGUGGGGAGCAAACAG